GACGAACGCUGGCGGCGUGCUUAACACAUGCAAGUCGAACGGAGAGGCCCUGCUUUUGUGGGGUGCUCGAGUGGCGAACGGGUGAGUAACACGUGAGUAACCUGCCCUUGACUUUGGGAUAACUUCAGGAAACUGGGGCUAAUACCGGAUAGGAGCUCCUGCUGCAUGGUGGGGGUUGGAAAGUUUCGGCGGUUGGGGAUGGACUCGCGGCUUAUCAGCUUGUUGGUGGGGUAGUGGCUUACCAAGGCUUUGACGGGUAGCCGGCCUGAGAGGGUGACCGGCCACAUUAGGACUGAGAUACGGCCCAGACUCCUACGGGAGGCAGCAGUGGGGAAUAUUGCACAAUGGGCGGAAGCCUGAUGCAGCAACGCCGCGUGCGGGAUGACGGCCUUCGGGUUGUAAACCGCUUUCGCCUGUGACGAAGCGUGAGUGACGGUAAUGGGUAAAGAAGCACCGGCUAACUACGUG
rnacentral:rRNA from 1 species